UCCUCUGGCUCCCUCUCUGUCAGCCCUUUCUCUGUUUGUGUGUGCUCUCUCAAAAAUAAAUAAAUGUUAAAAAAGAAAUUGGCAAACAAUAAAGCUCAGUGUGGUGGGUGUUUUUCUCCCUGCCAAAAGUCACCUUUGCAUAUAUGCCACAUGAGCCGUGUGAACCUUGGGUGAUACUUAUUUCACAGGGGGAUUAGUGCAAAUGAGAUACUUCAUUUGGAAGUCCUCUGUAACCUGUAAAGUUUCUACAUGUGUUAGUUUUUAUUAUUUGAAAUAAAAUGUUAAAUAUGAAGCUUUAACAUUUAUUAAAAUCUAAGUGUGUAAUUAUUACCUUUCAUUGCAAGCUUCAAAUAUGAUAUAGGACAAGAUUUCAGAAAGCAAAACAAUUAGGAAGCAGCCUUUUUGUGUUGGUUAAAGCUAUUAUGUGCAAGUUACAAAAUUCCUAACUCCAACCAGCUUCAACAGUGACGUGAGUUCACUGUCACCUAAACUAAAAGGCCAGAGAGAGUGCCAGCUUAAUUCAGCUAGCUUAAUCCAGAGGCCAGGCUAAACCCAGCAGGUCAGAUGAUGCCAUCGUAGAGCGGGAGGACCAUAUGUUCCUGUUUGCCCAGGAUAGUCCUGUUUAUGCAUCCUAUCUGGUUUGGUGUAUGUCUUGCCCGGUUUCAUUCUCGAAGUUGUCCUAGUUUAGAAGAUAAAUGAUAUGUUUACUUAACCAAGGUUUGCUCUCUCUGCUCAGUUUUUUUGUGUUGCAGGAUUCACCCUCAGGUAUCACAAGACAUGUUUCCCCACCCGUUCCCUGCAGUUCCAGCCUCUUCCGUGCAGAGAGCAUAAGAUCUGUAGAAGCUGCAGACCCCAUAACCUCAUACCACCCAAUCUAGUGGGACAGAAAAUCUCUUCCAGUAGCCUGUGCAAAUGCUGGGAUUCACUGCCUCUCCCUGGUCUGAUUUGGGUCACAUGGCCAUUGCUGAAGCAUCCCUUUGGGAACAUGGAUUCACCGAUGGACUUAGUCAACUGUGCUCACACCUAGAGUAGGCCUGAGAGGAUUCCAAACAAAUCACCCAACUGAGAAUGAGGUGACUUCUCCCAAGGAACAGCAAGUAACUGUCGGCAGCAGAAGAGGUAAGAAGCCUUCUGUGAAGUGCUGUGAAGCUGCUUCUGUGUGAGGCUGAUCUAGUAAUGGUGGCCAGAUACAACGCAGUGGAGGAUGUGCCAGAGGCAUUCAUACAGGGGGUGAAGUGCAGUGAUUAACAGCACAGAUCUUGGAGCCAAGAAGGCCUGCGUUCAAAUCUCAGCUCUGUCAGUUACUAAGAGCAUAUGAGCUGGGGAGAGCAAGAGAAGCUUAAGCAGCCACCAUGUGGAGACUGAUGCGGGACUCGAUCCUACAAUCCUGGGAUCAGGACCUGAGUGGAAAUCAAGAGUCAGAUGCUCAACCGACUGAGCCAACCAGGCAUCCCAGGAGAGUUCCUUUAAAAUGUGAGUUCUCAUAGUGCAUUUAAAUUUGAAAGUAUAAAAUGACCAUAGGUGGUUACUUUAGGAAAGUUCUUCCCUCUUUCCUUUCUCUUCUGAGUAUUCUAUAAUGUGGCUAUAGUAGACUCACAAGAAUAAAACAAGUAAGAGUGACAAUUUAUGGAGUCCAAAACUCUGCUCUAAGCUCUUUACAUACAUUUUCUCAUUUAAGGAGAGAAAUUAAGGAUGAUGUAAUUUGCAAAGGGUGUUUUACAAAACUAUUGAGAAAGAGGAGGACAUGUUCCACUGAUAAAAAUGACAGAAAAGCAAAGUAGACUAUAAGAGAAAAUCUGCUGUAUUAUUCCCUUCUUUCAGUUUUCAGUUGUAUGUUUACCAGCCGGGCUUCUGCACAGCUUGGUUUUCAUUUGGUGCAGAAGGCAGAGAAAAGCCCUUAUGAAAGCAGAGUCUGAUCAGAAUGGUCAUGAUCGGGCUUCCCAGGAGAUGGGCAGCCAAAGAACAGAGAGCAAAAGGAAUAAAAAUUUCCAGCAAAUGAGUAAAUACCCCCUCUUGAGGGUCUCCAGCUAUUCUAGACAGCCAUUCUAGGCAUCUUACAUUCAUGAAUAAGUGUCACAUUGGACAACUUUGAGGAAGGCUCCUGUGUUCCAGGCACUAUCCCAGGCAUUUUUAUGUUUAUUAACUAAUCUUCCCAAUAUACCAACAGAGUAGGUCCUAUUAUUAGCACUCUCAUGUCAGAAGCAAGGACAGUGAGGCAGAGAGAAGCUCGGUGUCUUGGCCAAGAUCACUCAACCAGUAACGUAUAUUGGUCUGGAAACCAAACCCUGGAGUUACGCAACUUAACGUGGGGCUUGUAACAAUUCUAAGAAGUAGGGACUUUCAUUAUCCCAUUUGACUUUCGGAGAACAGGAGAUUUAGAGAUGCUAUAUGGCUUCCUGGAGCUUACCCAAGCAGCCGGGCCCCUGGGCCCACGCACUGAAUCGUUUCAACACACGGAGUCUCCCUGUUCAGGAUGGCGCCUCCAGACUGUCGAGAAUGGAUAUAACAACGACAGAGAGAGGUUGGU